GAGUACUAUUUACCCAUGCAAACACAACCGAGCCUCAGUGAUAUUGUAAAGGCUUUAGUCACUGUGACUGGGUAUUACAACAAGGUCUUUGGUUCAGGUACAAGACUCAUUGUCUCAGAAAAAGAAAGUUCUCCACCAGCAAACUCUGAAAUCCUGCAGAGAAAAGAUGAAAAUCAGACAACGUAUGUUUGCCUUAUUGAGAAAUUCUACCCAGAUGUUAUUAAAGUGACGUGGACUGAUGAUGAAAAGGAGGUAACAGACAACGUAGUAAAAGGUGACACUUGGCAGUCCACGGAAGAGGAAGAAUACUCAAUUGCCAGUUGGUUAACUGUGCCAGCAGAGAAUGAAGACAAGAACUACUACUGCAAAUAUGAGCAUGAAGACAAAACGGCUUCACUGCCAACACAAGAUUUGAUGAAGACUACUCCUCAGGAAGAGGACUGUGGAACAGUUUUUAAUAGAGAUCAGUUAAUGCACAGGACAGCAUAUUUAAUAUAUAUCAUCUUUCUUCUGAAGAGCUCCAUGUACUAUCUUAUCAUACUCUUCUUCAUCUACAAAAUGUGGGCUUCAGCCAAGUAUGGAGGAAAGAAAGCAUAAAUGCUGUUUUAAGAAGGGGCUACAAACCGAUCUUCAAUUUACUUUGCUGUAUUUUAUCCAUAUAGACUUCCCUGCUCUCGGCGUUAGAUGUAAUAGCAAAAAAAAAAAGAUUCCAAAAUAAUUUUCUAGUAUUAGUGCAUAAAGGCUCAUUUUACUGCUAGUGUUUUGAUAUAGGUCUGGCUUUCCUAAUAUUUUUUCUGAAUAUUAAAUAAAGAUAGGCAAUAGAAAUAAUGCAUUUUAAUCCAAAUCCGUAUUGCAAAACUAAGAAGGUAGCCGUGUCAAAAGUAGCUAUGCAUCCAGAAACUCAGGGGUAUAACAGGGCUUUUGACAUACAAAGCACAGAUGUGCUUUGUCACUGCAUUUAAGGCUUAAUUAGGAGCACUCCUGUGCAGUAAAUUAACAGGUUUAGUUAAUUUUUACUUUCAGUGAUUUGUUGCAACUCUCAUGUAUCCAACAAAUCAAGAAUUAAUUAUUCUGAAGUGGUGUGCUUUAAGAUACAAUUAAACAAAACUUUAAAAAGUGAACAAAAGAAUUUUGAAUGAAAAAGCCAGAUAAGAGUAAAAGCAAGUCUAAGGUUCACACAGACAGAAAGUGAAGAAAUCCACCUGCCAGUGAAUUUCUACCACUGUGACAUGGUCUGAAAAUUUGCACAUUGUGAUUUUUAAAAAAUAAAACAAUCACAAUGGUCAUGAACAUCACCUUGUUGAAAGACACCUUUUAAAACUGAGCAAAACCGUGAAUGUGAAGCUCUAAUAAAGUAUUUUCACAAAGGAAGAAAAAUUCUCAGAGACGUUGAACUCUUAAUCUCCCAGUUCCACAAAUCAAUUCCUUUCAAAUUCACGUGGAAAAAUAGGAAGUAGACAUAUUGGGAUAAAUCACUUGCUUGGUUUUGGGCAAAAAGCUGCCCUAGGUUUUGGAGAUAUGCUCCUGCAGCAUUUGCAUUCACUGUGUCUGUAAUGAUGAUGGCAAUAAAAGCUUUCCUCCAACUGUC